AUUGAACGCUGGCGGCAGGCCUAACACAUGCAAGUCGAACGAGUGGCGGACGGGUGAGUAAUGUCUGGGAAACUGCCUGAUGGAGGGGGAUAACUACUGGAAACGGUAGCUAAUACUGCAUACCAUUAGAUGUGCCCAGAUGGGAUUAGCUUGUUGGUGGGGUAACGGCUCACCAAGGAGACGAUCCCUAGCUGGUCUGAGAGGAUGACCAGCCACACUGGAACUGUGACACAGUCCAGACUCCUGCGGGAGGCAGCAGUAGGGAAUAUUGGGCAAUGGGCGCAAGCCUGAUGCAGCCAUGCCGCGUGUAUUAAGAAGGCCUUCGGGUUGUAAAGUACUUUCAGCGGGGAGGCGUUACCCGCAAAAGAAGCACCGGCUAACUCCGUGCCAGCAGCCGCGGUAAUUC
rnacentral:rRNA from 1 species